AGAGUUUGAUCCUGGCUCAGGAUGAACGCUGGCGGCGUGCCUAAUACAUGCAAGUCGAGCGAACGGACGAGAAGCUUGCUUCUCUGAUGUUAGCGGCGGACGGGUGAGUAACACGUGGAUAACCUACCUAUAAGACUGGGAUAACUUCGGGAAACCGGAGCUAAUACCGGAUAAUAUUUUGAACCGCAUGGUUCAAAAGUGAAAGACGGUCUUGCUGUCACUUAUAGAUGGAUCCGCGCUGCAUUAGCUAGUUGGUAAGGUAACGGCUUACCAAGGCAACGAUGCAUAGCCGACCUGAGAGGGUGAUCGGCCACACUGGAACUGAGACACGGUCCAGACUCCUACGGGAGGCAGCAGUAGGGAAUCUUCCGCAAUGGGCGAAAGCCUGACGGAGCAACGCCGCGUGAGUGAUGAAGGUCUUCGGAUCGUAAAACUCUGUUAUUAGGGAAGAACAUAUGUGUAAGUAACUGUGCACAUCUUGACGGUACCUAAUCAGAAAGCCACGGCUAACUACGUGCCAGCAGCCGCGGUAAUACGUAGGUGGCAAGCGUUAUCCGGAAUUAUUGGGCGUAAAGCGCGCGUAGGCGGUUUUUUAAGUCUGAUGUGAAAGCCCACGGCUCAACCGUGGAGGGUCAUUGGAAACUGGAAAACUUGAGUGCAGAAGAGGAAAGUGGAAUUCCAUGUGUAGCGGUGAAAUGCGCAGAGAUAUGGAGGAACACCAGUGGCGAAGGCGACUUUCUGGUCUGUAACUGACGCUGAUGUGCGAAAGCGUGGGGAUCAAACAGGAUUAGAUACCCUGGUAGUCCACGCCGUAAACGAUGAGUGCUAAGUGUUAGGGGGUUUCCGCCCCUUAGUGCUGCAGCUAACGCAUUAAGCACUCCGCCUGGGGAGUACGACCGCAAGGUUGAAACUCAAAGGAAUUGACGGGGACCCGCACAAGCGGUGGAGCAUGUGGUUUAAUUCGAAGCAACGCGAAGAACCUUACCAAAUCUUGACAUCCUUUGACAACUCUAGAGAUAGAGCCUUCCCCUUCGGGGGACAAAGUGACAGGUGGUGCAUGGUUGUCGUCAGCUCGUGUCGUGAGAUGUUGGGUUAAGUCCCGCAACGAGCGCAACCCUUAAGCUUAGUUGCCAUCAUUAAGUUGGGCACUCUAAGUUGACUGCCGGUGACAAACCGGAGGAAGGUGGGGAUGACGUCAAAUCAUCAUGCCCCUUAUGAUUUGGGCUACACACGUGCUACAAUGGACAAUACAAAGGGCAGCGAAACCGCGAGGUCAAGCAAAUCCCAUAAAGUUGUUCUCAGUUCGGAUUGUAGUCUGCAACUCGACUACAUGAAGCUGGAAUCGCUAGUAAUCGUAGAUCAGCAUGCUACGGUGAAUACGUUCCCGGGUCUUGUACACACCGCCCG
rnacentral:rRNA from 1 species